UUUUUUUUUUUUUUUUUUUUUUUACAGAAACACACUGAGAGUUAACAAUAUUUUAACCACACUCUAGCAUCCAGACUAUUAUGCUUUGGAAAGGCCUGAUGUAAGAGAUACUGGAAUACCUCGAAGACUGCCUGUGCUGCUCAGAGGCCAAGCCCUGUAAUCGAUGUGCCUGUUAAGAAAGUGACAUUCAAAGGACAGUCACUUCUUGGUGAGCCAGGGUGAACAUCGCAGGCUUUAUUUAUCUCCUCUACCCCAAAUAAAAUUUGAGUCUACACCUGUGAAACAGGACACUUUUUAAAAGAAUAUUUGUUUGAAACAAGGAGUCAAGAGAAAAUUACUGGACAGGCAAGGGAAAGCUGCAUGGCUCCAGGCAAUUCCUCCAUUCAGCCAUUCUGCUGAUCUCCACACAUGGCUAUUUCUGAGGAAAAAGCCUCUCAGGUCAGGAAGGUGGGCCACCACAAAUUCUACGGUAUGGCAGAAGACAGACAGGGCUCACUGGUGAAAGGGAUGACAUUCUCACUGCUGGAUGUUCAUCUUACUAAGUAGGCUGGCAAAAUUUCUUCCCCUCCAACAGAACUAAGGUGUAGCCCAGCUAAGGAGACUGACAGCAACACAGAUCAAUUGUUUACAGUGAUAUCCCUUAUACUAAUGAUGCAUCCAUGUCUGACAGCCUUAAAUUCCUUACCGACCAAAAAACAGAAGACAAGGUAAAGAAACAUUUUUGGCGUUACUGUGACAAGCACUUAACAAGCAGCUGGAAGCAUAAUUACAAUCCCAAACUGGAAAGUUUAUUAACAAAACCUGAAUUAUUGUCAGCAGAAGGCUGGUUAAAUCAUGGCUUUUCCUGCUACUGCUUCACUUAACCUCCGGGAACCCAGUCCUAACCAUACUUUCUGGGAAAUAUCUAUAUGCUCUGGAUUGGACAAGCUCACAUAAUGAGGCUGGAUGUAGUCAUUAACAUGAUGUACGCACUUUAUACUUCAUAUCUGAUAUUUAAGAAGACAAAGGUCCAUUGCAGUAAGUCCCGCCUCCACGCCAUACUCCAGCCAGAUCCCAAAAGGGGACGUUAUCAUCAAAGAAAAGUGUAUGAAGAAGAAAACCAUAAGAUGUCAAUAAAUAUUUACAAUCACAAACGCAUAAUAAAGUAAUAACAAAUUCUUAGAAAUCUAAUUGCGAAGGAAUAAGCAUUUAGUAAAUCUCAAUUUGGGAAACAGCAGGUCAUUUUAUUAAAAUCCAGAGAGAGAAUGUAUACCCCCAAAGUAUUAAACCCAUUGGAGAGCAAUUAAAGCAAACGGAAUACACUGAAACAUUAAUGUGGAUUUUUAACAAAUCCUGGAAUACUCUACAAGAUCAAGAGAAUCACGAAAACUUAAUGCGGCGCUAGUGUUCAUGAAGAUCAAACCUGAGAAACUACAGUCAGGCUGACAUCAAGCCAGUAUAAAUUCUGGAAAGGGUGAGUAGUAAAUAAUUAAGAAAUGAUAGCAUAAUUCAUUCAUUUGUAAGUCUUGUCAACUAAACUUGAUACCAUUUUUUAUGCUAUAACAAGUUUGGCUAAUAACAUUAACUUGUAUUGUCAUAGAACACUUAGAUUGCUAUAAGAUUUAAUCUUGCAUGACAUUUUCAAGCACCAUACAAAAUCAAUAUUCUACAUUACAUGGAUUAAAAUUGUUUAAAUACACAGAUCUUGAAAACUGUAAGUGGAAAAUUGUCAGACAAUGUAGGUUCUCUGAAGAACUUUUAUUGUCCCAAAUUUAUUACUUUCAUUGCAAAUCAGAGAUUCUUUUUUUUUUUUUUUUUUUUUUUUUUAGAUGACCCCAGCCUUGAUACAAUGGGAAAUAUCAAUCAAACGGAUGGGCACAUCUUCCACAGUAUAACUCAUCUGAGCACACACAGCUAAAAUGUACCUCACCAACAAAAAUGCUAAAGCUAUAAUUUAGUUCAUUUAUGGAACAAAGGGUUAAGAGAGAACUUGCAAGUGCAAGUACGUAUAAAGCAAGAAGAGCAGUCAGCAGUUUCAUUUAGUGGAAAAGAGAGCAUUUUGGAAUCCAGCAGUUGAAAGCUAUUAUCUUGACUGAAUGUGUUCAUGUAAAAGUCACAUUUCUUUAUUUCUAUAUGAUGAAAAUAAAUAAUCUAUUACCACCAACUGAUGUCAGAUAUGGUAGAUUAUCUAUUUUUCAAAUCUUUAUAAGAAGGUUUUUUAUCUUUCUAAAAGAGAUGUCACUUUUCAAGUGAAGUUACAGUCUCAAGGGAUACACAAAAUCUUUAAGGAUGUUCUGAGACUUUGUGCAGUGACCACAAGUAAGUUUGUAGGACCAAGUUGCUUGACUUAGAAUCAUAGAAUCAUCUAGGUUUGAAAAGACCUCUAAGAUCAAGACCAACCAACAACCUAGCAAUACCAAGCCUACCACUAAACCAUUUCUCUAAACACUCCAUCUACACAUCUUUGGAAUACCUGCAGGAAUGGUGACUCAACUACUUCCCUGGGCAGCCUGUUCCAAUGACUCAUAACCCUUUCAGUGAAGAAAUUUUUCUUAGUAUCCAAUGUAAAUUUCCACUGGUGCAACUUCAGGCC